CCUACGGGAGGCAGCAGUGAGGAAUAUUGGUCAAUGGGCGCGAGCCUGAACCAGCCAAGUAGCGUGAAGGAUGACUGCCCUACGGGUUGUAAACUUCUUUUAUUCGGGACGAAACAAAUGACGGUACCGAAUGAAUAAGCCACGGCUCACUACGUGCCAGCAGCCGCGGUAAUACGUAGGUGGCAAGCGUUAUCCGGAUUUACUGGGUGUAAAGGGCGUGUAGGCGGGAGAGCAAGUCAGACGUGAAAUUCCAGGGCUCAACCCGGGAACUGCGUUUGACACUGUUCUUAUUGAGUGAUGGAGAGGCAGGCGGAAGUCCGUGUGUAGCGGUGAAAUGCGUAGAGAUACGGAGGAAGACCAGUGGCGAAGGCGGCCUGCUGGACAUUAACUGACGCUGAGGUGCGAAAGCGUGGGGAGCAAACAGGAUUAGAUACCCGUGUAGUC
rnacentral:rRNA from 1 species